rnacentral:piRNA from 1 species
UAGGAAGGGGGAAGCCCACUGUCGUGCUGU